rnacentral:rRNA from 1 species
UACGGAGGGUGCAAGCGUUAUCCGGAUUCACUGGGUUUAAAGGGUGCGUAGGCGGUCGGGUAAGUCUGGCGUGAAAUCUCCAAGCCUAACUUGGAAACUGCGUUGGAUACUAUCCGGCUCGAGGAAUGGAGGGGAGACUGGAAUACUUGGUGUAGCAGUGAAAUGCGUAGAUAUCAAGUGGAACACCAGUGGCGAAGGCGAGUCUCUGGACAUUUCCUGACGCUGAGGCACGAAAGCCAGGGGAGCAAACGGG